GUGAACUUGAUGGAGGACAGAACCUCAGCAGGAAUGUAUACGAGGGGAUGGCGGCGCAUCCAUGGACUGCUAUUGAUGCUGUACUUUGUUCGUGCAUCAAUAUCCCCUCUGGCCAUGGCAGAUGUCAGCUGAGUGAGGUCAAAAGGUCCCAUUUACUUGUGCUGAUGUGUACACGGUACAUGUACUCCACACACUUCCUUCGAUGAUGGAAAGCUUGACCCAACUUCCCCUUAAAUCCACAAGACAGGCCACUCACUGGCUGUAAAAGCCAGAAUACUGCCAAGGAAUUCUGACAUGUGGUAAAUUAUUUGAGGAAUAAAUGUGACAAAAGAGGGACGAAAAUAACAGGGCCAGCCGCUGGUUUGUAAGCAGAGGAUUUCCUGAAUGAUUUCUGUUGUUCAUGAUAUUCUGGAUGUAUGAAUUGUGUUUCCUUGUCUUCUAUUCAGUGAUACUUCCUGAAAGAUCUUUUGUAUUUAACAUGCAUGCUGAUGAAAACACACUCUUGAUGUGCUAAUA